UCUGUCUCCACAUGAACAUCCUGAUCCUUACGCUAGCCUGAGCCAGGUCCUUCAGGCAGGAUGAGCAGAGGGGCACUUGGUCUGUGGACUCCAGGGGAGUUUGUGUCACUGUCUGAGUAAGAACUGAGGAACUUUAUUCAUUAAAAAAUGAGGUAUCUACAGAUUUCAGGCACUGACAGAGCCAGACAGCAGCUGAGCAGAGUUGUCAGGGUUCUAUAUUUGAACUGGAGUCCGGAGAGGCAGUUGGGUAGGAUGACAGUGUGACAAAUGUGACAGGUUUACACAGAUCUUCACUUUCUCUUCAGAAAUAUAGUUAACAGGUUUUGCAAUUACACAGGGUGCAGAUGCGAGCUGUAUUUCAUGCCAUGACUUCAGUUGUCUGACUCUCACACUACAUCGAAAGACAGCAUUUACAAGCAGCAGAGAACUCCUCCUGAAUUCUCCAAUGUGCUGCUGCAGACAGAGCUCACCUACAAAUGAGAUGCCAUCAUGUAAAAGAGGCUUUAUUAUCUCGUUUCUUUCAAACCUACUGUUACCUGCAUGAAGUUCUAUUUCUGAAUGACUUCAUUGCCAAGAAGCUAGAAUAUGAGAAAUGCAGCACCUGGUCAGAUGGUCUGCUCUUGUAGCUGGCAAGUCCUUCCAAGUGUCUAGCUGCUGAAGGCGUUUUAUCUCACUGUGUCAGUCAUGGCUAACAACAAAGCAGCAAAAUUGGUAAACGCUACAAGCAUGUUUUUUUGUUGUUGUUGUUUUGUUUUGUUUUUGUUUUUG